rnacentral:tRNA from 1 species
GCUGGGGUUGUGGCUCAGUGGUAGAGCGCUUGCCUAGUAUGUGUGAGGCACUGGGUUUGAUUCUCAGCACAGCA